rnacentral:rRNA from 1 species
AUGCCCCUCAGGAAGGUCCGACGGCGCCCGCAAGCGUCAUCGCAUCGGUGCCGGACAGGCCGACAGGGGUUUCUCCCGAUCCACAACCACCACCACCACCCCAGGGAUUUCGAGAUGCACCACCCCAUCAGCCCCCUCCCCCUCCCCAGCCUAUGCCACCAUGAUUACCGGACAACCCUCACCGCCUUGCUGGAGCUGCCAACACGAGACUUGAAGAGGGAAAGGAGACAACGGCCACGGGAGCGACCACAUUUCGACCGGAGGGAGGGGACAGCCUCCACCACCGCAUCGGAGCCGAUCAGACGCGGUGACGAGGACUUGUCGGGCCUCGACGGCCCGGUCAGGCCCACUUGGACCUGGACAGUCCUGUCACCACGCUGCAGCUCGCCGACCAACCAAGUCCUCACCGCCCGAAGCCACCACCACCACGCCACCACCAGGGAACAUCGCCGCCGGAUGCGGAGCCAUCGGCCCGCCCCAACUCAGAUGGGGCCCAAAUUUCUAGACGAGUUGUUCGUAGUUAAAAGACUCAUUUCUGUAUAA